AUUGAACGCUGGCGGCAGGCCUAACACAUGCAAGUCGAACGGCAGCACAGAAGAGCUUGCUCUUUGGGUGGCGAGUGGCGGACGGGUGAGUAAUGUCUGGGAAACUGCCCGAUGGAGGGGGAUAACUACUGGAAACGGUAGCUAAUACCGCAUAACGUCGCGAGACCAAAGUGGGGGACCUUCGGGCCUCACACCAUCGGAUGUGCCCAGAUGGGAUUAGCUAGUAGGUGGGGUAAUGGCUCACCUAGGCGACGAUCCCUAGCUGGUCUGAGAGGAUGAACAGCCACACUGGAACUGAGACACGGUCCAGACUCCUACGGGAGGCAGCAGUGGGGAAUAUUGCACAAUGGGCGCAAGCCUGAUGCAGCCAUGCCGCGUGUAUGAAGAAGGCCUUCGGGUUGUAAAGUACUUUCAGCGGGGAGGAAGGCGGUGAGGUUAAUAACCUUGCCGAUUGACGUUACCCGCAGAAGAAGCACCGGCUAACUCCGUGCCAGCCGCCGCCGUAACAC
rnacentral:rRNA from 1 species